GCUGGGCGUGGUGGCUCAUGCCUGUAGUCCCAGUCACUCAGGAGGCUGAGGUGGGAGGAUCACUUGAGACCAGGAGUUCUGGGCUGUAGUGCACUAUGCCGACUGGGUGUCCACACUGAGUUCGGCAACAAUAUGGUGACCUCCCAGGAGCGGGAGACCACCAGGGUACCUAAGGAGGGGUGAACCGGCCUGGGUCAGAAAUGGAGCACGUCAAAACUCCGGUGCUGAUCAGUAGUGGGAUUGCACCUGUGAAUAGCCACCGCACUCCAGCCUGGGCAACAUAGCAAGACCCCAUCUCU
rnacentral:SRP_RNA from 1 species